rnacentral:rRNA from 1 species
UAGGGAAUCUUCGGCAAUGGACGAAAGUCUGACCGAGCAACGCCGCGUGAGUGAAGAAGGUUUUCGGAUCGUAAAACUCUGUUGGUAGAGAAGAACGUUGGUGAGAGUGGAAAGCUCAUCAAGUGACGGUAACUACCCAGAAAGGGACGGCUAACUACGUGCCAGCAGCCGCGGUAAUACGUAGGUCCCGAGCGUUGUCCGGAUUUAUUGGGCGUAAAGCGAGCGCAGGUGGUUUAUUAAGUCUGGUGUAAAAGGCAGUGGCUCAACCAUUGUAUGCAUUGGAAACUGGUAGACUUGAGUGCAGGGGAGGAGAGUGGAA